CGGGUCUUUCCCGGUGGUUGUAGGCUCCUCCGUCGAAAUGGCCAAAACUUUCCUUAAAUCCCAUGACCUCACCUUCGUUGACCGGCCAAAAACUGCCGCCGGAAAAUACACAACCUAUAAUUACAAAGACAUUACAUGGUCACCCUAUGGAUCCUAUUGGCGACAAGCACGUAAAAUAUGCGUUAUGGAGCUUUUCAGCGCAAAACGCCUAGAAUCAUACGAGUAUAUACG
rnacentral:misc_RNA from 1 species